rnacentral:rRNA from 1 species
AAAUUGAAGAGUUUGAUCAUGGCUCAGAUUGAACGCUGGCGGCAGGCCUAACACAUGCAAGUCGAACGGUAACAGGAAGAAGCUUGCUUCUUUGCUGACGAGUGGCGGACGGGUGAGUAAUGUCUGGGAAACUGCCUGAUGGAGGGGGAUAACUACUGGAAACGGUAGCUAAUACCGCAUAACGUCGCAAGACCAAAGAGGGGGACCUUCGGGCCUCUUGCCAUCGGAUGUGCCCAGAUGGGAUUAGCUAGUAGGUGGGGUAACGGCUCACCUAGGCGACGAUCCCUAGCUGGUCUGAGAGGAUGACCAGCCACACUGGAACUGAGACACGGUCCAGACUCCUACGGGAGGCAGCAGUGGGGAAUAUUGCACAAUGGGCGCAAGCCUGAUGCAGCCAUGCCGCGUGUAUGAAGAAGGCCUUCGGGUUGUAAAGUACUUUCAGCGGGGAGGAAGGGAGUAAAGUUA